rnacentral:lncRNA from 1 species
AAUGAUCCUGUCAGCCAAUGGGCUCACAAGAAAAAAUGAGUCCAACGGCCUAGAUUGAUCUAACGAUCACAGAUGUCUUGUAAUGUUUGAAUUUUAAAAAUUUUUCUACAAAUCCAAAUCACUUGAAAUUUUAGGCGUGUGUUCUUCUCAUCAAGCCGUACCUAAUAAAAAUAUAAAAAAAAAAUCCGCUAAAACAAAAUUGAUCAAACUACUCCCGAAACUUUAUGGGGUAUUUUGGUCAAUUUUUUUAAUAUUUUUCGAAUAUUCACCUAUUUUUUAUGAACAUACAUCUAAAAUUUGAAGUGAUUUGGAUUUGUAAAAAAAAAAUUAAAAUGGC